GGUAUUUUCUGCCCUAUGAAUAAUUAAAUGGCUGCAGUAUUCUGACUGUGCAAAGGUAGCAUAAUAAUUAGUCAUUUAAUUGGUGACUUGUAUGAAUGAAUUAAUGUAAAAUUUUUUUUAUUAUUUAUAUUAUUAAAAUUUAAUUUUUGGGUAAGAAAGCUUAAUUUUUUUUUUGGGACGAUAAGACCCUAUAGAACUAAAAAGUUUUUAAUUUUAAUAUUGAUUUAGUUUAAUUUAUAAAAUUUAAUUUUAUUAUUUUUUUGUUGGGGUGAUAAAUAAAUUUUACUUUAUUUUUUUGUAUCACUUAUUUGNGUUUAUUUUGAUCCAUUAUUAUUGAUUAUAANAUUGAGUUACCUUAGGGAUAACAGCGUAAUUUUGAUGGGGAGUUCAUAUCUAUAUCAAAGUUUGCGACCUCGAUGUUGAAUUAAAAUUGGAUUGNGGGGNAG
rnacentral:rRNA from 1 species